GAUGAACGCUGGCGGCGUGCCUAAUACAUGCAAGUCGAGCGAACGGACGAGAAGCUUGCUUCUCUGAUGUUAGCGGCGGACGGGUGAGUAACACGUGGAUAACCUACCUAUAAGACUGGGAUAACUUCGGGAAACCGGAGCUAAUACCGGAUAAUAUUUUGAACCGCAUGGUUCAAAAGUGAAAGACGGUCUUGCUGUCACUUAUAGAUGGAUCCGCGCUGCAUUAGCUAGUUGGUAAGGUAACGGCUUACCAAGGCAACGAUGCAUAGCCGACCUGAGAGGGUGAACGGCCAGACUGGAAGUGAGAAAGGGCCCAGACUCCUAAGGGAGGAAGCAGUAGGGAAUCUUACGCAAUGGGCGAAAGACGGACGGAGCAAAGUCGCGUGAGUGAUGAAGGUCUUCGGAUCGUAAAACUCUGUUAUUAGGGAAGAACAUAUGUGUAAGUAACUGUGCACAUCUUGACGGUACCUAAUCAGAAAGCCACGGCUAACUACGUG
rnacentral:rRNA from 1 species